ACUGGAUCCACGUCUGAGCCCAUCUCCUCUGCCCAACUCUUCUUCUGCUGCAGCUCCAGAUCCUUGUCCCCAAGGAUCGAAUUCAGGAAACUGGGCACGCAAGACUGUAUAAUCUUCCCAGGAAAUACUUUCAGUUGCCCAUCAUCUAUUACCUGAGGAGGG